UAAUACUUGGUUUCCGAAGAACAAGAUGAUAAAUAGUGAAGAGAGGGCAGUCACUCUCUAAAACAUGCUUGUAAUAUCCACAGGUGGGCAUAUGUACUUCAACUUCAAGGAAAAAUUAUUGAAAAUCUAUUCUGCUAUAUGAUUUUUUCCACUUCCACAGUUCUUUUGAUAAAAUGUUAUAUUCUUAUGUCCGUGCUUGUCAUAUUUCACUGUUAUACGACGAAUUUGCUUCUUCUCAUUUGCACUGAUUGUCCAAGUAUGUUAUAUUCUUAUGUCCGUGCUUGUCAAAUUCUGAGGAAUGUUGAAAAAAUGGGUCUUCGUGUCACUUCCUGUGAAGAUGACACACUUCUCCUCCGUAGAUGCCUUGCUGCCUCGUUUUUCCUUAAACUAGCUAUGAAGCAGCCUGACGGUGAAUACGGGUAAAUAUUUGAUAGGAUUUUUAUUUCGACGCAACUUUGCAAUAACAAAGUUAAUCUGUACUGGCAGGGUCACAUUAAGUGGUUUGAUAGUCCAAAUAUACACUUCUUCUGUCUUGUUCCGCACCAAGCCAGUGUGUAUAGUUUUAAUGAACUAGUCCAUCAUUAUGUCCGUAAUGUUUCUAGAAUCGAUUACUUGUGCCUAGUUGAGCUGGCUCCUCACUUGUAUGCCGUGCAAGACUAAAUGUGUGCCUACUUUGGUUUUACCAAUUUCUCAGUUCCAACAACCUGAUGAGAUCCAUCUAUGGCAUUCCAUAUGAGUGUUCCUCGUUUAUACAUUGUGAAAUCAUUUGUUACUAUAUGAUUUUUGCUUCUCUCUGGGUUGACGUUGUCCAAACGUGCCCAAAACAGGAUUGAAAUUGUUGAAUGCAUAGAUGUAAGCACACUUUUUAUCUUGACAGGUAUGGUGUUGAAACUGUUUA
rnacentral:lncRNA from 1 species